ACAACACAAGUCAUCAAGUGGCGCUCAAAGACUGAAGACCACCUGCAGGGGUUUUUGUGUUUUUGGAGUGGAAAUGAAGAGGAAUGUCCCAAGUUGACCGCUUGUGACAUCGCAGAAAAGGACCAAUCCGCAGAGUCCCUAAAGCGUCGUAGAGCAGCGUGCGCCAUGGACCGCUCGGUGCAGGAACUCUUCCUCAACUUCAUGAUCGUCCUGGUCACCGUGCUGCUGAUGUGGCUGCUGGUCAAGACCUACCAGGACUAACCUGCUUUCCCACUUCCUGUGUGGGGACUCACACACAGUUUUAGUAUGAAAGCAAAAGGCGGACAGCUUGUAAAUCUCCACUGUGUAUGGAAUGCGCCGUAGAGGUGUCGGUUUCUCAGAUCUGGACGGCUACAGGAAGGGCCUUAUCCGGACCCGAAAUCUACGAGCAGAGAGGGGGCAAACCCGACACCGCUCCAAGCACCUUUUGUUUGAACUGUUUAUGACCCCAGUGCAGCUGCUGCAUAACGAGACCCCUCCCCUUAGAAGCAGCUGCAGCUAUGUAAUCAGGGAAUGCCCAAAUAAAUGGGGAGGCGUGGAACAAUGUGUAUAAAUGAUAUAUACACAUUUAGCUGUAAAAAUCUGCUGUACAGUAUGUGUGUUUGGCUCCCUUUUUUUCAGGAACACUAAUACCAAACGUCACAAUGUCCGAUAGAGUUCUAAAAAAGUUAUGACAGACCAUCUCAAAAAGACGAAAUAGAAUUUUAUAGUUUACUGAAUGGGACACCCAAAAUGUACAUUAAAAUAAAGACAGUGGGAUUUACAAUAUUAACU